GGCCGCUUCGGGGAAUAAAAAGAGGGUCAGCUUUGGUGUUGAACUAGUUCCACAGUUCUAGGAUUGAACACAUUGAGCGAGUGGGCAGGAGGGUGGUGAAGACGACGGGGGGAGGAGAUGAGAAGGAAGAGCACACGUCUGAACUUCAG